rnacentral:rRNA from 1 species
UACGUAGGCAGCAAGCGUUGUUCGGAGUUACUGGGCGUAAAGGGUGUGUAGGCGGUCUUCUAAGUUUGGUGUGAAAUCUCCCGGCUCAACUUGGAGGGUGCGCCGAAAACUGGGAGGCUAGAGUACUGGAUGGGAGAGUGGAAUUCCUGGUGUAGCGGUGAAAUGCGUAGAUAUCAGGAGGAACACCGGUGGUGUAGACGGCUCUCUGGACAGUAACUGACGCUGAGACACGAAAGCGUGGGUAGCAAACAGG